rnacentral:tRNA from 1 species
GCCCGAUUGAUGAAAUUGGUAAACAUACAUGACUCAAAAUCAUGCGCCGAAAGGCUUGUCGGUUCGACUCCGACAUCGGGCACCA